CUGCACUAUAAAUUGAGAUUAUCAAAUCCAGAAAAACAAGGCAGACUCCCGGUGGCUCAAAAGCUAAAAGCAGAACCAAGAGGCCAUAGCAGAGUGAGGGAGUGAUCAUGCACCUGUAUCUGUCAAAACUAUUGCAAAACCAGUUUUUCUGCAAUCAAGUCAAAGAACAGUUUCUGAAAACAAUGUCAAAAACAACUACAGCUGGAAAUUCCCCAACUGACCACCAAUAGGUCACCUGGUGCCAGCCAAUUACCUGGAAUCAGCCAACUAAGAGAGACUGGUUAUUUGGGAGAUCAAAGGUUUUCC
rnacentral:lncRNA from 1 species